CUUACAUUUGCAAUUUUUAUAAAAAAAAAACCCUUGUGAUACUAUGGUAGUAGAACUACAGCCACAUCUACUAUGUCUUUUAACAUCAUAUUUAUAUCUUUAAAUUAUUUUUCUUUAGUUCCUGAAGUUGAAUGGAGCCUGAAAUGUUAAACUUAAAUUGAAAGGAAUAUCAUAACAUUCAAGAAAGAAUAAUGGACGAAAGCUCAAGAAAGAAUCGUAGACCGAUUGAAGGAAACGUUUGGUUGGUAAUAUUGAUGGUGAAUACAAAAAGUAUCAAACGAACAUGAACCGUGUUGAGGUACGCCUUAAAAAUCAAAGACGAUGGAAAUAUAAGGAAACAGAUGAGGAUGGUAAAAUGAGAUGUUUUUGGCGGAGAUCAACAGUGAUUCGAGCAACAAAUCUUCAAACACAAUUCAUUACGGAUUUUUGUACAUUAUGAAGAAAAUAUCACUGAGGACUAUUGAAGCUAGCUUAUUCCCAUUGUUAUCUAUUACGUUUUGCUAUUGUUUUCAAAU